rnacentral:rRNA from 1 species
CCUCAGUGUGGCAUCAGUGGGGAAUAUUGGACAAUGUGCGAAAGCCUGAUCCAGCCAUUCCGCGUGUGUGAAGAAGGCCUUCGGGUUGUAAAGCACUUUCAGUGGGGAAGAAAGCCUUGGGGCUAAUACCCUCGAGGAAGGACAUCACCCACAGAAGAAGCACCGGCUAACUCCGUGCCAGCAGCCGCGGUAAUACGGAGGGUGCGAGCGUUAAUCGGAAUUACUGGGCGUAAAGCGCGCGUAGGCGGUCUGAUAAGCCGGUUGUGAAAGCCCCGGGCUCAACCUGGGAACGGCAUCCGGAACUGUCAGGCUAGAGUGCAGGAGAGGAAGGUAGAAUUCCCGGUGUAGCGGUGAAAUGCGUAGAGAUAGGGAGGAAUACCAGUGGCGAAGGCGGCCUUCUGGACUGACACUGACGCUGAGGUGCGAAAGCGUGGGUAGCAAAUAGGAUUAGAUACCCUGGUAGUC